UACGAAGGGUGCAAGCGUUAAUCGGAAUUACUGGGCGUAAAGGGUGCGUAGGCGGUUCGUUAAGUCUGUUGUGAAAUCCCCGGGCUCAACCUGGGAAUGGCAAUGGAUACUGGCGAGCUAGAGUGUGAUAGAGGAUGGUGGAAUUCCCGGUGUAGCGGUGAAAUGCGUAGAGAUCGAGAGGAACACCUGCGGCGAAGGCGGGUUG
rnacentral:rRNA from 1 species